CCCGGCGGCAGCGCCACGGGGCUUUGGGGGUGAUUCUCCUCCCCUUUUUUUGUCUUUUUUUUUGGGGUGUGUGUUUGCCCAGAGGAAGUCGAGCAGGGCCAAGGAGAAGAAGCAGCGGCGGCUGGAGGAGCGCGCGGCCAUGGCCGCCGUCUGCGCCAGGGUCGAGGCCGCCAACAAACUCCAAGACCCCCUGGAAGCCUUCCCGGUGUUCAAGAAGUACGACCGCAACGGGUGAGUGCCGCCCUGCCCGGGGGACCCCGGGGGCUGCUCCCGGUGUCCUCCGGGUGUUCAAGGUGUCCCUGGGGCCAUUCCAGGUGUCCCUGGGGCCAUUCCAGGUGUCCCUGGGGUCAUUCCCGGUGUCCCUGGGGCUGCUCCCGGUGUCCUCCGGGUGUUCAAGGUGUCCCUGGGGCCGUUCCAGGUGUCCUCCGGGUGUUCAAGGUGUCCCUGGGGCCAUUCCCGGUGUCCUCAGUGU